rfam:Dipodomys ordii contig_16405, whole genome shotgun sequence.
UGGCUCAGUGGUAGAGCGCUUGCCUUGCAUGCAUGAGGCCCUGGGUUUGAUUCCCCAG